rnacentral:rRNA from 1 species
AGAUUGAACGCUGGCGGCAUGCCUUACACAUGCAAGUCGAACGGUAGAGUAGCAAUACUUGAGAGUGGCGAACGGGUGAGUAAUAUAUCGGAACGUGCCCAGUCGUGGGGGAUAACGUAGAGAAAUUUACGCUAAUACCGCAUACGAUCUAAGGAUGAAAGCGGGGGACCGUAAGGCCUCGCGCGAUUGGAGCGGCUGAUAUCAGAUUAGGUUGUUGGUGAGGUAAAAGCUCACCAAGCCGACGAUCUGUAGCUGGUUUGAGAGAACGACCAGCCACACUGGGACUGAGACACGGCCCAGACUCCUACGGGAGGCAGCAGUGGGGAAUUUUGGACAAUGGGCGAAAGCCUGAUCCAGCAAUGCCGCGUGCAGGAAGAAGGCCUUCGGGUUGUAAACUGUCUUUUGUACGGAACGAAACGGUCUGUCCUUUAAUACAGUGGUCUAAGUGACGGUACCGUAAGGAAUUAA